rnacentral:tRNA from 1 species
AUUUUGGGUGAGUGGUUCAGCUCCCUUGUUAAAUAGGGUUAGUUAAUAUAAUAAUAUAUACUUGUC